GUAAGCUACAAAGAGCAAGUGGUGGAUGCCUUGGCUAGUAGAGGCGAUGAAAGACGUGCCAGGCUGCGAUAAGUCUCGGGGAGCCGUCAAGGGGCUUUGAUCCGGGAAUUUCUGAACGCUAGUAGCGGCGAGCGAACGCGUAAGAGGGCAAACCACUAGUUUACUAGUGGGGUUGUAGGACUGCAAUAUAGACUAAACUUAGCUAAUAGAACAACCUGGAAAGGUUAGGCACAGAGGGUGAUACCCCCGUAUAUGAAAGCUUUGUUUUACUUAGCAGUAUCCUGAGUAGGGCGGAACACGUGAUAUUCUGUCUGAAGCUGGGUAGACCACUAUCCAACCCUAAAUACUACUACUAGACCGAUAGUGCACAAGUACCGUGAGGGAAAGGUGAAAAGAACUGAGGUGAUCAGAGUGAAAUAGAACCUGAAACCAUUUGCUUACAAUCAUUCAGAGCCCUAUGAUUUAUCAGGGUGAUGGACUGCCUUUUGCAUAAUGAGCCUGCGAGUUGUGAUGUCUGGCAACGAUGUGAUCUAUCCAUGAGCAGGUUGAAACCGGUGUAAGAGCCGGUGGAGGACCGAACCCGCUAGCGUUGAAAAGCUAUGGGAUGACUUGUGGAUAGGGGUGAAAGGCCAAUCAAACAUCGUGAUAGCUGGUUCUCUCCGAAAUAUAUUUAGGUAUAGCGUCAUGUAGUAACACUAGGGGGUAGAGCACUGAAUGGGCUAGGGCAUACACCAAUGUACCAAACCCUAUCAAACUCCGAAUACCUAGUGUGUAAUCAUGGCAGUCAGGCGGCGAGUGAUAAAAUCCGUCGUCGAGAGGGGAACAACCCAGACUAACAGCUAAGGUCCCUAAAUCUCAUUUAAGUGGAAAACGAUGUGGAGUUACUUAAACAACCAGGAGGUUGGCUUAGAAGCAGCCAUCCUUUAAAGAAAGCGUAAUAGCUCACUGGUCUAGUGAUUCUGCGCGGAAAAUAUAACGGGGCUAAAAUGAGUACCGAAGCUUUAGACUUAGUUUUACUAAGUGGUAGGAGAGCGUUGUAUUUGCGUUGAAGGUAUACCGGUAAGGAGUGCUGGAGCGAAUACAAGUGAGCAUGCAGGCAUGAGUAGCGAUAAUUGGGGUGAGAAUCCCCAACGCCGUAAACCCAAGGUUUCCUACGCGAUGCUCGUCAUCGUAGGGUUAGCCGGGUCCUAAGCAAAGUCCGAAAGGGGUAUGCGAUGGAAAAUUGGUUAAUAUUCCAAUGCCAACUAUAAUGUGCGAUGGAAGGACGCUUAGAGUUAGAGGAGCCAGGUUUACCAAAAACACAGCACUCUGCUAACUCGUAAGAGGAUGUAUAGGGUGUGACGCCUGCCCGGUGCUCGAAGGUUAAUUGAUGACGUUAGCUCUGCGAAGCGUUUGAUCGAAGCCCGAGUAAACGGCGGCCGUAACUAUAACGGUCCUAAGGUAGCGAAAUUCCUUGUCGAUUAAAUAUCGACCUGCAUGAAUGGCGUAACGAGAUGGGAGCUGUCUCGAAGAGGGAUCCAGUGAAAUUGUAGUGGAGGUGAAAAUUCCUCCUACCCGCGGCAAGACGGAAAGACCCCGUGGACCUUUACUACAGCUUGACACUGCUAUUGGGAUAAAAAUGUGCAGGAUAGGCGGGAGGCUUUGAUCCAUAGACGCCAGUUUAUGGUGAGCCAUUGUUGAGAUACCGCUCUUUUUUAUUCUGAUAGCUAACUAGCUUGAGUUAUCCUCAAGUAGGACAAUGUCUGGUGGGUAGUUUGACUGGGGCGGUCGCCUCCCAAAAUGUAACGGAGGCUUACAAAGGUUGGCUCAGAACGGUUGGAAAUCGUUCGUAGAGUAUAAAGGCAUAAGCCAGCUUAACUGCGAGACAUACACGUCAAGCAGAGACGAAAGUCGGUCUUAGUGAUCCGGUGGUUCUGUGUGGAAGGGCCAUCGCUCAAAGGAUAAAAGGUACCCCGGGGAUAACAGGCUGAUCUCCCCCAAGAGCUCACAUCGACGGGGAGGUUUGGCACCUCGAUGUCGGCUCAUCGCAUCCUGGGGCUGGAGCAGGUCCCAAGGGUAUGGCUGUUCGCCAUUUAAAGCGGUACGCGAGCUGGGUUCGUGAUAACUGCUGAAAGCAUCUAAGCAGGAAGCCAACUCCAAGAUGAAUCUUCUUUUAAGAGCUCAUAUAGACUAUGUGUUUGAUAGGCUGGGUGUGUAAUGGAUGAAAGUCCUUUAGCUGACCAGUACUAAUAGCUCGUCUGCUUAUCUUUUAAUAAGCAUCACUUCCUUGU
rnacentral:rRNA from 1 species